rnacentral:lncRNA from 1 species
UUCGGAAUAACAAAAUAAUAAAAUAAUAAGAGUUAAUAAAUACAAUAUUGGGCUCAUAUAUAAAAAAAUUAAACCUAAAACCCGAACCCAACAUGAUUUAAACUCGAAUUAAAAUCCCAAAACUCGUAAUUUUCGUAAUAAUCUCGUCUAGAAAUUCUACUUGCGCAAUCUACACUAAAACGAUCAUAACUUGAGUUCCCAAACUCGAACUUGAGUGAUUAAAAGUGUAACGCCCGAAUUUUGGGCCUGGAAGUUUUGGGAUCCAGUUAGGGUCACAAGAAGGGCCGCACAUAUGUGUUUAGUUGUGCAAUUUAGUAUCAGAAUGGGCCUGUUGGUCUGGUGGAUAAGAGGAGUGUUAGUUAACCUUGAGGUUUGAGGUUUGAGUCUUUGGGUGCACGAGUUAUUUUAUUUUUUAUUUUUGAUUUUUUUAGUUAAAUAUUUAUUCAUUUAUUUUUUUAUGUCUAUUGUUAUUUUGAGGUUUAUCUUUAUUUUUAUUUUGGGGGAUUGGUAUUUUGUUUUCUCUUCUCUUUUAAACGUUUAGGGUUCUCUUUUCUUCUUCUUCGGUUUCUACCUUUCUGCUAUUUUCUAAAUAUACUCAAAUUCGGUUUGGCUUGUGGACUUUGGGAAUUUCACUCCUCUGUCGUCUUCUUCGUCAUCGAAACAAGUGUGGGAUUCGAACUGUCAAAACCAUUUUUUUUGGAUCGAAAAAAACGAGAAUCGACUUUUAAAACUAAAUGUGGAGUCACCACCAAUCUUUUUGUUUAGGUGUGAUUGGAUCACCUAAUAAAACAUUUUGUUUCAUUUAAAUCAAUUUUGGUCUAUGUAAAUUUAAAAAUGGGUUCGGGAGCCGGUUACGUAUGAGGAAGGGUUAGCACCCUCAUUACGCCCAAAAACUGGUACCAGAUUGAUUAAUUGUUGUCCUUAUGUCUAGGUUUUUUUCAAAAAAUUUGAAACAUGGUUCUUUUUAAAACAUUAGAGUGGUUUAAGCUGGUCGUCAAAACUUUCUCGUUUCAAAGGUAUAAAGCAUCACGUCCAGCAUGAUAUGACAUGAUCCUUUAUACUUUUGAGAACACAAUCGAGUUUUGACUUCCAAAAGCUCUUAGGUCAAAAAUUACAAAAGAGUGUCCAAAUAUUUAGUCCAACGAAAAAUCGAAACCUAGCACGGUAGGGCACGAUUUCUCGAAUUUCUAAAUACUGAACAUUGCCUUAUUUUAGGAUUUUUUAAAAAGAUUUGUAAACUCAAAACAUAUUAAUUUUAUUUGAA